AGAUUGAACGCUGGCGGCGUGCUUAACACAUGCAAGUCGAGCGGUAACGCGGGAGCAAUCCUGGCGACGAGCGGCGAACGGGUGAGUAAUGCUUGGGAAUCUGCCCAUUAGUGGGGAACAACCAGCCGAAAGGUUGGCUAAUACCGCAUACGCCCUACGGGGGAAAGCGGGGGAUCGUAAGACCUCGCGCUAAUGGAUGAGCCCAAGUCGGAUUAGCUUGUUGGUAGGGUAACGGCCUACCAAGGCGACAAUCCGUAGCUGGUCUGAGAGGACGACCAGCCACACUGGGACUGAGACACGGCCCAGACUCCUACGGGAGGCAGCAGUGGGGGAAUAUUGGACAAUGGGGGAAACCCUGAUCCAGCGACGCCGCGUGUGUGAAGAAGGCCUGCGGGUUGUAAAGCACUUUUAGUGGGAUGAAAAGCCUAGGGUUAACACCUCUGGGUCUUGACCUAACCCACAGAAAAGCACCGGCUAACUCUGCGCCAGCAGCCGCGGU
rnacentral:rRNA from 1 species